rnacentral:tRNA from 1 species
ACUUACCUAAUAUAACCAGUAUAUUUGACUUCCAAUCAAACAGUUUGUAUUUACAAGGCAAGUA